rnacentral:rRNA from 1 species
UACGUAGGGAGCAAGCGUUGUCCGGAAUCAUUGGGCGUAAAGCGCGCGUAGGCGGCCUCAUAAGUCCGUUGUGAAAGUCAAAGGCUCAACCUUUGAAAGCCGAUGGAUACUGUGAGGCUAGAGUCCGGAAGAGGCGAGUGGAAUUCCUGGUGUAGCGGUGGAAUGCGCAGAUAUCGGGAGGAACACCAAUAGCGAAGGCAGCUCGCUGGGACGGUACUGACGCUAAGGCGCGAAAGCGUGGGGAGCGAACAGG